GCUGGGCAUGGUGGUGUGUGCCUGUAAUCCCAGCUACUUGGGAGGCUGAGGCAGGAGAAUCGCUUGAGCCCGGGAGGCGGAGGUUGCAGUGAGCUGAGAUUGCGCCACUGCACUCCAGCCUGGCAACAAAGCGAGACUCCGUCUCAA
rnacentral:SRP_RNA from 1 species